GACGAACGCUGGCGGCGUGCCUAAUACAUGCAAGUAGAACGCUGAAGAGAGGAGCUUACUCUUCUUGGAUGAGUUGCGAACGGGUGAGUAACGCGUAGGUAACCUGCCUUGUAGCGGGGGAUAACUAUUGGAAACGAUAGCUAAUACCGCAUAACAAUGGAUGACACAUGUCAUUUAUUUGAAAGGGGCAAUUGCCCCACUACAAGAUGGACCUGCGUUGUAUUAGCUAGUAGGUGAGGUAAUGGCUCACCUAGGCGACGAUACAUAGCCGACCUGAGAGGGUGAUCGGCCAAACUGGGACUGAGACACGGCCCAGACUCCUACGGGAGGCAGCAGUAGGGAAUCUUCGGCAAUGGGGGCAACCCUGACCGAGCAACGCCGCGUGAGUGAAGAAGGUUUUCGGAUCGUAAAGCUCUGUUGUAAGUCAAGAACGGGUGUGAGAGUGGAAAGUUCACACUGUGACGGUAGCUUACCAGAAAGGGACGGCUAACUACGUG
rnacentral:rRNA from 1 species